rnacentral:rRNA from 1 species
GACGAACGCUGGCGGCGUGCCUAAUACAUGCAAGUCGAACGCAGUGGGGACGGGUGAGUAACACGUGGGUAACCUCCCAUCAGAGGGGAUAACACUUGGAAACCGGUGCUAAACCGAUACUGAUUGAUGGACCCGCUGUGCAUUAGCAAGUUGGUGAGGUAACGGCUCACCAAGGCCACGAUGCAUAGCGGGCAUGAGAGGGUGAUCAGCCAAACUGUGACUGCGAAACGGCCCAGACUCCUAAGGGAGGAAGGAGUGGGGAAUCUUCGGCAAUGGACGAAAGUCUGACCGAGCAACGCCGCGUGAGUGAAGAAGGUUUUCGGAUCGUAAAACUCUGUUGUUAGAGAAGCGGUAUCUAACCAGAAAGCCACGGCUAACUACGUGCCAGCAGCCGCGGUAAUAC